CUCACCUCGGAGCAAAGUGUAAUGUGCAUGGAUCUCUACAUCUGGAACUUCCAUAGAGUCAGACCUUUCUGCAUACUGUAUCACCUUGACUUUCAGCUUCUUGGAGAUUCUAAUGAAAUUUAGGAAGAAGAAGAAAGAAAAAAUGAAUGGAAAGAAGAAGACAUGAAGAAAUAGUACUUGGAAUUUUA
rnacentral:lncRNA from 1 species